rfam:Pteropus alecto contig48660, whole genome shotgun sequence.
AGUUCCAUAGUGUAGCGGUUAGCAUAUCUGCUUUACACGCAGAAGGUCCCAGGUUCAUGCCCCAGUGGAGCCA